UCAGGAUGAACGCUAGCUACAGGCUUAACACAUGCAAGUCGAGGGGCAGCAGGAUCUUAGCUUGCUAAGAUUGCUGGCGACCGGCGCACGGGUGAGUAACGCGUAUCCAACCUUCCCCUUAGUAGGGCAUAGCCCGUAGAAAUGCGGAUUAAUACCCUAUGUUAUUCGUCGAGGACAUCUGAAGUGAAUCAAAGGUUUACCGCUAAGGGAUGGGGAUGCGUCCGAUUAGGCAGCAGGCGGGGUAACGGCCCACCUGGCCAACGAUCGGUAGGGGUUCUGAGAGGAAGGUCCCCCACAUUGGAACUGAGACACGGUCCAAACUCCUACGGGAGGCAGCAGUGAGGAAUAUUGGUCAAUGGGCGAGAGCCUGAACCAGCCAAGUAGCGUGCAGGAUGACGGCCCUAUGGGUUGUAAACUGCUUUUAUAUAGGGAUAAAGUCACCCACGUGUGGGUGUUUGUAGGUACUAUAUGAAUAAGGACCGGCUAAUUCCGUGCCAGCCGCUGC
rnacentral:rRNA from 1 species